rnacentral:rRNA from 1 species
GUAUGGCUGCUUGACAUGUAAAGUGCUACGCGAGCUGGUUUAAGUACGUCGUGCGACUGUUCGGUCCCUAUCUGCCGUGGGCGUUAGAGAUUUGAGAAGAGUUGCUCUUAGUACGAGGGGACCGGAGUGAACGAACCACUGGCGUUCCGGUUGUUUCGCCAGAAGCAUUGCCGGGUAGCUACGUUUGGACGGGAUAAACGCUGAAAGCAUCUAAGCGUGAAGCAUCCUUCAAGAUUAGAUCUCUCUGAUGAAAAUCAGUAAGGAACGUUGGAGACUACGACGUUGAUAGGCUGGGUGUGGAAGUACAGCAAUGUAUGAAGCUUACCAGUACUAAUUAUCCGAUAGACUUAAGUCU